UGGAGAGGAAAUUGCAGAAAAUCACUAAUUAACUUUGUAAAACCUGUCCAGUGAAUUUGUGCUUUUCAUUCUAACAAACGUUUGAGGAGAGCUGGCAUGUUGCAAGGCUAGGAGGCUUAGCCGCAGAGAGACAAAUGAGAUAAUUAUAGCCCCUACUAGCUCUUUCUGGUACAAUGGUUUUGUUCUGGGUCAGGGGCUACAUGGCCACGUGCCCUUUUUCUGUCUCUUCCUGCCCUCUGUCCCUCAUUUCUGGGUCAGGAUUGUGUCUGGUCUUGUAGGAAAUGUUUAUUUAGGAGUAAUAGGGGGUAUCUUUCCAGCCUCACUUACAUAAAUUACAGUGGUGUUUUACACAGUAUGCCAAAUAUUGUAUUUUUUUUGUUGAAUUAUCUUGGAUUUGUCUGUGAGCUGUCUGUCCUUGGAGUCCUUCAAAGAUAAGCUCUGUAGCUAUAAGUUUGUGCUGGCUUUCCAGGUUGCAAGUGAGUUUGACAAGAGGACUGAAGCUGAGACUAAAUGAAACAGAGCAACUUGGGUCUGGCAUGGGGAACCCAAGAAACACAGAGACCUGCCUCGCUGGAAAGCUGGAGAAGCCCUUCCCAGCACCGCAGCUUGGUGUGGCGCCCUGGGCACGAAGGUGGGACACAGGGGGUGCCACCAGCCAGACCUGUGCUUUCCAAAUGAACUAGCCCCUGUGUUCAACAUUCACUCGCCAUUUCCACCUCAGAAAACGGAAGCCAAAGUGGAUUUCUUAAUUUGUUCUUUAGUGCUGUCAGUCACGGCAGGGCCUGCACACCUGCAUGUGGCUUUCCUCCCAAUUAUUUCAGCAUUGCCAGAUGCAUGCUGAAUGUUUUCCUUUCUUCUCUUUUCUUUUGCAACAUCAGGUGCUGAUCACUUCUGGAGUCGAAGUCCUAACUUGAUGGACUAGUGAUCUGAUCUGAUCUGACAAAGCCUUGCCCCCGUUAUUUCUGCCUGAUGCUAUUUCCCUGAUAGAAAUAAAUCAUUUGUCAUUUUCCA
rnacentral:lncRNA from 1 species